AACAGGAUUAGAUAGCCUGGUAGUCCACGCCGUAAACGAUGAGUGCUAGGUGUUAGGCCCUUUCCGGGGCUUAGUGCCGCAGCUAACGCAUUAAGCACUCCGCCUGGGGAGUACGACCGCAAGGUUGAAACUCAAAGGAAUUGACGGGGGCCCGCACAAGCGGUGGAGCAUGUGGUUUAAUUCGAAGCAACGCGAAGAACCUUACCAGGUCUUGACAUCCCGAUGCUAUUUCUAGAGAUAGAAAGUUUCUUCGGAGCAUCGGUGACAGGUGGUGCAUGGUUGUCGUCAGCUCGUGUCGUGAGAUGUUGGGCUAAGUCCCGCAACGAGCGCAACCCCUAUUGUUAGUUGCCAUCAUUCAGUUGGGCACUCUAGCGAGACUGCCGGUAAUAAACCGGAGGAAGGUGGGGACGACGUCAAAUCAUCAUGCCCCUUAUGACCUGGGCUACACACGUGCUACAAUGGUUGGUACAACGAGUCGCAAGUCGGUGACGGCAAGCAAAUCUCUUAAAGCCAAUCUCAGUUCGGAUUGUAGGCUGCAACUCGCCUACAUGAAGUCGGAAUCGCUAGUAAUCGCGGAUCAGCACGCCGCGGUGAAUACGUUCCCGGGUCUUGUACACACCG
rnacentral:rRNA from 1 species